GACAGAGGUGCCAAGCGUUAGGCGGAAUCAUUGGGCGUAAAGCGCACGUAGGCGGUCCAGCAAGUCGGGUGUGAAAGCCCUCGGCUUAACCGAGGAAGUGCAUUCGAAACUACUGGACUUGAAUACUGAAGAGGAUCGCGGAAUUCCCGGUGUAGAGGUGAAAUUCGUAGAUAUCGGGAGGAACACCAGUGGCGAAGGCGGCGAUCUGGGCAGAUAUUGACGCUGAGGUGCGAAAGCGUGGGGAGCAAACAGG
rnacentral:rRNA from 1 species